rnacentral:lncRNA from 1 species
ACUAUACCACACACUAUUUUGUUUGAAGUGUGGAAGAAGACCCGAAUACUUGUGUCAUUUGUUAGUCACCAGAUCAUAGAAGAAUCCAAAAAGGCAAAAGCAAUAGUAUGUGUGUGUGGGUGAUUAUAGAUAUGGGUCUUCUAUAAUGAUGGUGCACCCAAGAACAGAAGCCUUAUGUACAGUACUGGAUGGUUAGCGGAUGUGUGUUUGAUUUUCUAUUGUAUGCCAGUUUUCAUUUGGAAUGUAUCAAACUUUGGGUUGUUUGUUUCCAUGAAUGAAGUAAGAACUUGGAGUUGUUAUGAUAAUUGAAUAUUCUGUCUCCUUGGUGAUGGAAAUUUGAGAUGACGACAUAGUCAAGAAUAUCUCCUUUUGUUUCAAUUAUUUGAUACUUAAGCUUUUCACCAAAACAAAAAAAAAAACAAAAAAAAAAGGAGAAAAAGGAAACUUGGAUACUUAAUUAUUGAGUUGCUCUUCUUCUAUUCAUUUCAAAUUAUUGUGACUAUCUGUCUCUCAAUUCUACUUUUGUGGGAGUUUCAUGAUGGAUACAAGGAUAGAUCUUUGUUUUCUUCUUGGUAUUAUUGAAAAGUGUCUCAAAUUUUUAAUUAAGUUAAAAAAUAGUUAAAAAUAUAUUUAUAAAUAUUAUAUGUAAUGAGAUAAAGGUCAUGUAAUAGACAUAACUUGUGAAGAGUGGAUUUUGUAAUAUUUUUUAUAAUAUAAUGAAAUAUUUUCUCUCAUUUGUGGGUAUAUGCAUGAAUCACUUUAAAGUAUUAUGUACCUUUUUUUUAUGUGUGGAUCGUUUUAUCUUUGUGUUCUUUUAACAUGUUUGCAUUGAAGCAACACAUAUAUGGAUGUUGUAAAUGCACAAAUGAUCUGUGCCAAAUUCUUUUAAUAUGAGUAAGAAUAAAAAAAUUCAAAUUGGGACAAGAAAUUCAAACUAAUUUAUUUAAAAAAUAACUAUUUUUACUAAUCACCUUUUUAUGAUUUGCAUUUUUUAUUUUCAAAAUGUACAAUCAUAAAAAAUACAAUAUUUUAAAAUUUUUUAAUCCUUAAUACUAUUGUUCCAAGGAUAUUUUUAUAAUUAUUUAGAUAAUGUUAAAUAUAGGAAUGGCAACAAAGCGGGUUCGGGACGAGUCGCCCUCAUUCCAACCCCGCCUCGUUUAUUCAAAACAAUUCCCAUCUUCGUCCCAUUUAAAAAAUUAAAUGAGGCAGGACAAGGCGGGUAUGAUAAAUUCCCAUACCCGCCCCACCCCGUUUAACUUUUUUUUUUGAAUUUUAAUUUUUUUAAAUUACUUUAAAAAUUUUUAAUUACAUUAAAAUAAAUAUAUUUUAUAAAUAAUUAAAUUAUUAUAUUUUUUAUAACUUAUUUUAUUAAAAAUAUUUUAUUAUUAUCUAUAUAUUAAAAAUGGUAAAAUAAAAUUUUAAAUUAAAUUAAUUUUAAAAUUUAAAUUAAAUUAAAUUUUAAAUUUAAUUUUAUAUAUAAUUGGGGCGGGGCGAGGUGGGAUGGGACAAUACCCGAACAUGUUCUAGGUUUUAAAAAAAAAUCUUAAACCCAUCCCAAACCGGUCCUAAACCCGUUUAUUAAAAUUUAAUCAUGUCCCAUUAGGGGUGGGGCGGGUAUCCGAAAAAAUUGUCAUUUACUAAUUUGCUAAGUACAGUUAUUGUUCAUUUUAAGUCAAAUAACUCUCACAGCUUUAAAAUACGUUUACCUGAUUAAAAUAAGUUCAUACAUAUAUAGUUUUAAUAACUUUAUCUUUCAUCUAAUAUGAGAUAUCACAACUGAGUCUAUGUUUGACUCUAAAAAAAUAUUAAGGAAAGAUAAAAAAUGUUAAAAAAAUGAUUUUUUUUAUUUUCGAUUUCACCGUGAAAAUAAAAAAAAAUUACUUGAAAAUUUAUGAAUUUUAAAUUAUUUAAUCUAAGGAAAUAAGUAAAAUAUUUUUUUAAAAUAUAAAAUAUAAUUUAUUAAAUUUGAAUGUAUUUUUUAUUUUUGUUUUGUUUUUUUUUUUUAUCAUUUUUCACUUCUUUUUUUUUUCUUUCAUAUUUUCCCUUAAAUUUUCGCGGGCAUCAAACAUAACCUUAAUAAAUUUUGGGUGUGGUAAAUUUCCCUACUAUAAUUGAAUAUUGUCUCUUUGAAAGCACAACAAAAGCUAAGAAUUUAGGAAAGUUGUGAAAAUUUGGGAUGACAAUUUAUUUAUUUUUAAACUUAUCAUAUUUUAAUUUUUUUCAACUUCUGUUUAUAGAUUAGCCUACAAAUGACUGAUACAAAAAAUCUAGACACAUAGAUUUAUUAUUCACUGGUUUCAAAUUAAGCUGUGUUUUUAAACAUUUGAAUAAAGAAUAAGGGCAAGAAAAUAUCGGUUAACCUUGUCAUAUAUUUAAUCCCAUCCAAAUAUGUUUGCAAGUGAAAUAAUUGUCUUUUAACAUUGUUGCAUUUCUUUUGGGAAGAUGAUUGAGUCAUCCCAUCUUUUGUUCCGUUUUUCUUUCAAUUCUUAUUUUCAUUAAAUUAUUUGUUGGAAUAAAAAUAAGAAUAAGAAAUUCAUUGUAAUGCAAGUAAAACAUUACUUAGAUAUAAUAGUUGGGGAUUUAGAUAUAAAAAUAAAAAUUAUAAAAAAAAUUUCAUUAUAAUUUUAUUUAUUUAUUCCUACCAUGGAUUUAUAUAUGAUACAAAUGUUGUUAAAAUAUUCAUCUUAUUUUCAAUUAUUUUCUAAAAUACCAUUUAAAAAAUCACAAACUUAUUUUAGAAAUAACCCGCUUUUAGAAUAAAAUUCUAAAAUAUUAUUUUCAAUUAAAAUUUUAUUAUUUUUUAAAUUAAAAACAAUUUUCGAAGAGACCAUUUCAAAAGUACUACACAAGAUAUUGUAUUUCAAAAAUAUAUUAUUUAAAUAAAAAUUCCACUAAUUUGGCCCACACUCAUAGUGCAAAGCUUGGAGGAUUUUGGCAAUAAUUUGAGAUGACUUGACCGUUGACUCGGAGGAGGGGAGCUGGCCGAAAGAUGGAGGGGUUGGUUUUAGGGAUGGGCUUUUCGAUGUUGGGCUUGAUGUAUAAACCAAAGGGCCUGUCUUUUUCGUGGGGCUCCAUUUGGGCUUAAUGAUUGUGAUUCUUGGGAUUCUGGAAGUCUUGUGAAGUGACCAUUGUGGAAAAAUAAGUUACUCCCUGAUCACGACUACUGUCUGCGCAUGGCUCAUGAGACUUGAAAGUCUUUCAACAAGCCUACUUGCUACCUUCACAACCUCUCUCAUUUUCCCCCCUUGACAUCCAAACAAAACCUUUGUUGCGUGGCCAUCUCCAUCAUUGAAUAAUUUAUAAUAAAAUUUGGAUAGUUGUUGUGCGAGGCUACAAAUAAGUAAGUCUUGAGUCACAACAUUCGAAACCAUGCAUAAAACAUGCGUGUAUUACCAUCCAAUUAUUGGUAUCCAUUCCAUGUUCACGGAAGCAAUACUUUUUGAUUGGGAUACAACUUGGACGGGAUUGACUCCAUUUAACGUAAGUCGACUCAAUACUUAAAUUGAUUCAUAUCAAUUUUUUUUUUGCACUUUAGUUAAAGUUUAAAUAACUCGAACUUAACCAAAACCCAAUUAAUUAUUUAUAAUAUGUAUUAUUCUAUGUAAUAAUAUUAAUUUUUUUGGAUUUAAAAUAAAUUAUCAAAUUAUAAUUAUAUCAUUUUUUAGAAAGGUACAUAAAUUUUUUUUUAUUUUUGUUUAUUAUAUUAAAUCUAUGAUGUCCUAUAUCGGAUAGGAGAAAAAGUUCUUAACGCUAUAUAUGUAAAGACUCCUCUUAAUUAAAUAGGCGCGUUUUAAAGCCGUAAGAGUUUUCUUUGGACCCAAGGUGGACAAUAUCUACAUGAUUGGGGGUAGACAAUAUCUACAUGAUUGGGUGCGGAUCAUUACAAAUGGUAUCAGUUUUAAAGCCGUGAGAGCUCAAUUUGAGCCCAACUCUACAUGGUUGGUUAACCAUUAACUUGACUCAUCCCAUGAAGUAAAACCCGGGUAUCAUUUCAUUUUUUAAUAAUAAAAACAAUUUAUAUUUUGUUGAGGAUAUAAAUAAAUGAGAUUUGAAUACUGAGUAAACACCCUCAAGUAAUUGAAGUACUUGGACCAACCAAAACCCCAACUUUGACUCAUUGACAUGUUAUUCUACACAUGAUCUAAUGCAGAACCAGCGAAGCAGCUACCAAGCUUCAUUGACUCAGAGAGAGAAGGGAAGCUUCUCAGUCUCCACACACCCAAGGAACCACUCGGCCCUCGAAGCAUCUGGGAAAUCACUAUCAAGUAUAUAGAGUCUUAAUUAUAAUUAAAGAUAACUUUUAAUGAAUAUUCGGAUAAGAUUAUGAAUGAAUAAGUAUCAAUUUUUGGUAUUGUCUCCAUGGAAGAAUGUCCAAAAUAAGGUGUGAAAGCAUUCGAGUCUUCACGCGCCUGAGAGGACGACAAACAUGUUGACCUUCUGACACGAAACUCCGCGUCUGGCUUUUGCUUAGCAUGGACUUAACCCUGGGUUCGCUCGGGUUUCUUCACUCUCAAAUCACUACAAAUAUGACGCCUUGGCCCCUGUGAACUUCGCCAAAUUCAUCAAACUUCAUCUCCUUCAACCUCUCUUUCUUCAAUCUUCUUCUUUAUCUUCUUCUUUUCAGGCUUUCAUCUCUUACAUUUUCUCGUACUUCAAUGGCAAAGAAGGUCGGUUCUUUCUCCAGCGUAGCAUUUUUUUUAGCUUAUUUUUUGGGUUUGUUCUUCUCUUUUUCUUGGGUGUGAUGGGUUUUGCACAUAUCCUAGUUUGGUUGUUGAGAAAAGAAAAGAAAGGAAAAGAAUAGAAAAGAAAAUGGAAGUUUGGGUGCUACCUUGGAGCUUUUCUUUUUUUCUUCAUUUGUUUUUUUAUUUUGAUUAUGAAGAUCUUAGGUUGUUUCUUUUUCUUUUUUUGGAUGACAGAAAAUCGUGUUGAAGUUCGAAUUCAACGAUGACAAAACCAAGCAGAAGGCCAUGAAGAAUGUCUGCAGCCAUUCAGGUAUUGAAUUUUUUUAAUUUUGCACCCUCUGUUUGGUUGAUGAGAAAACUGAAGAAAUGACAAAAAUUCUAGAAGUAAAAAUCAAAAUGUUGAGUCAAAUCCGUGUGUCUUAUGUUCAACCAAGUAAAAUAGUUGUAUUAGCCCCAGAAAAUGAACAGUCACAUCACAUCACAUCACAUACUAAGGAAUUGCAAAUCUAUCAUUUCUUUUCCAACAUUUUCUCAUCAACCAAACAGUAAUUACUGAAAUCAAACAAGAAAACCCAGUUCUUAAAACCUUUAAAUUUGACAAAUUUGAGUGUCUUUGCAGGUGUUGAAUCAGCGUCCGUGGACAUGAAGGAAAAGAAACUGACAGUAGUUGGGGAUGUUGAUAUAAUAAUUAUGGUGAAACAAUUGAGAAAGCUUUGUCACACAGAGUUAGUCACGGUUGGGUCACCAGCAUAAGCAGUAGACAAGAUGAAUGAGGAGAAAGAAAAUGGAGCCAACGAGUGGUGAAAUUAUAAUUCGACUUAAAGUCAAAUUAGAAUAGGUUUUGGAAUUGGAUAAAUAUUAGAAAUUGUUAUUUAUUUAGGCUUCCUAACAAAUAUGAAAAGUUUAUUAUAAAUGGACUUAUUAUUAUCUUGAAAAAAAGAAUGCUACCAAAUAUUAUUUUAGCAUAAAUAUUAUCAAUAACUAAAAUAUACAACGGUCGAGUUUUGAGUUCAAUGCUCAAAUUAGUGAAUAAAUCUUGAUCAUGAUUGCAAUGAGUUUAAUGCUCAAAUUAGUAUUAAUCACUUUACUCUAUAUGUAUUGAUUGAGUCCUAUUCAUCUUUAUCUUGAUCGUGACAAACUUGGUGUUUCAUGAUGUAGAUUGAUGUACACAACUUUCAACCAUAUGAUUUGGAGUCAUUUUCAUUAAUUUGAAAAAAUAUAGAAAAAAGAACCUAACUUUUAUAAAUCAAUUUUAUCUUUACCAAUUUAAAAAUAUUUUAAAAUAUAUCUACUUUUUCGUAAUUCAAAUAAUUAUUUCCUAAAAUACUUACAUGAUAAUAUUAAAUUAAAUUAUCAAAAAAUUAAUUUUAUCAAAAUAUCUUAUAAACAAAUAUAAUAUAAAUUUUUAUUAUAUAAUAUAAUAUACAAAUCAUUAUGAAAAAAAUAUUUAGCAGUGAUAAAUAAAAUUUUUAUAAUUUCCUAAUUAAUAAUGAUUUUAUAUAUUGUAUUAUAUAAAUCUACGCAUCUUCUCAUUUUUUUUUUAAUAAAUCUGAAUAAAAAUUUUGUUAAUUGAUAUCAACAAUAAAAUAUUUUUUUUUUAAAUAAGAGUAUAAGUAAAACUAAAAUAUUUUAAAAAUUAAAUAAAAUUAAAACCAAAAAACUAAAAAAAUUAAAAAAUAAAAUAUUAGCUUCCAUUGUAUUUUCAACUUUUUCUGAUAUCUAUAUUUUCUAUUAGUGUGUUUUAAUGAAGUCAAAGUCAAUAUUUUAUUUUCAUAUUUUUAGUUUAAAAGCUUUUUUUUUUUUAGUUUUAAUUGUAUUUUAAAAUUUUAAAAUUUUUUAUUUUAUUGAUUUCAAAUUAAUUUUUAUGAUAAAAAAAAUUGUCAAUUAAUGUUACCAACAAGAUAAAUCAAAUUUAUAAAAUUUAGGAUUCUUUUUUCUAUAUUCUUUCAAAUUGGCGGGCCAAAACCUAUUUUUCUUUUUAUGAAAAAUUAUUUAAUAUUUCAUUAUAUAAUAUAAAUAAAAAAUGUUUUAUUUUAUUUUAUUUUAUUUUUUGGUGCUAGUUAUAUAUAAGGAAAAGAAAAUGGAAACACACACUUACGGGAAAAAAAUUCUUCAAUUUUUUUUCCUUUUUAUAUAAACUUGAAAACAUUGUCAAACACUUAAUAAAUUUUGGGUGGUAAUUUUUUAUGAAUAAAAUUUAUUUAUUUUUAAACUUAUCAUAUUUUAAGUUUUUCAACUUCUGCUUAAUGGAUUAGUCUAAAGAAGACUAACACAGAAAAUCCAGAGAGAUAGCUUUCUUAUUUAUUGGUUUCAAAAUAUGGAAACUAUCUGCCUUUUAAUGGGUCAUUACAUUGCCAUAAAUUAUAAAUUUUAUUUCCUUUUUCUCCUUCAUUUUCUUAGGUUCCCUACAACCUUUUUCUACUUCUCUUUGUGAAACCCCUUCAAGUUUAUCUAUUUAUUUUCUUCCUUUUUAGAUUCAUGGUGUUUAAGCUCGUGCUUUUAAACAUUUAAAUAAAGAAUAAGAACGGGAGAAAUCCGAGAGUCGCUCCACCCACUAGAACACUUAGAGGAGUUCUUGUGUCAAUAACUUCUAUUCCUCUCAUUAGACCAUUUGUAAUAUUCAUAGUCGCAGCUUUGACUCGAUUAUUUUCUAAUAAUUAUUGUACCUCACAAGUCACAUUAAUUUAUUGAUCGACAAUACCUUGAUCUAUAAUUACGAACACAUGAUUAAUAUUAGAUAUCUUAAUCGAGGAAAAAACUACAUCCAAGAUUGAACCAAUGAUUUGAAUGAUAUACAAUCAAUUCCAUUUUUUAUUAAUAUAUUUGUUGAAAUGAAAAUAAAAAUAAGAAAUAAUUUUUUAGUCAUUCCUCAUGGUACUAUAGAUUUAUAUAUAAUGCAAACAUGGUUAAAACAUUAAUAGUAUUUUCAAUUAUUUUUUAAAAUGGCAUUUAAAAAUCACAAAUUUAUUUUGAAAAUAACUUGUUUUUAAAAACUAUUUUCGAAGAGACCAUUUCAAAAGCACUAUAUAAGUGUGGACUGCGCAUUUUACGCAUGCGCUUUCACUCGAUGACGUGACUCGCUUUUUUAUUUGGUUGGUAAAAUUUUGAUUUUUUGAAAAGACUUGGAGUCGCCACUUAUUUUUGUUUUAAUUUUUUUUUAAGGGAAAACAAAAUAAGAAAGAAAACCCUAAGUGUGACUCUUUACUUGGAAAAGACAGUCUGUGGAGAACAAAUAUGGGUUCGGGGGUUAGGUUACUUAUCGGGAAGGUACAAUAGUAAACUGUAACACCCUUCUAAACCCUAAGAAUUAGGUCUCUACUGAAUAAAUUAAAGCAAGUGUGGCAAUUGAUUGAUUAAUUGUGGAUACCAAAUAGUGAUCAAGAGUGUGAAAGCAAGACACGCAUGAUAAUGAAUAAAUAGAAAAAUAUAAUCAGCUAUUAGGCGUACCUUAGUCACAAACUGAGUGCUAUCAUGAGAGACAAAGUUAGUGCAUAAAUACAAAAGUAACCACAUAUAUAUCAUAGAGUGAGGUAAGCCAAUCAAGCAUAGCAAUCAAUCAAUAAAUGAGAAAAUUCUAUAUGUUGGGCCCCACCAAAGCCCAAUUUGUCUUGCAUGAAUUAGUCCCACAAAUUCCAUUAUUUUAGAAUUAUAAAAAAUUUCAUUCAUGCUUAUUAAAAAUCGAGAAAAACGGAAAAUCAUUUUAAAAUCAAAGAAGAAUUUGUGAAGGUGCUUGCCUGAAAGAAAAAAGGAACAAGUUUAUUAAAAACAGGAUUCUUGGUGACCCUAAACCUUAAGGAAAGACAAAAAAUUGAUGACUUAAAAUUAUUUGAAAAUUGGAGUGAAUUUAAAAUUAUUUGUGAAAUUUUGAAAAUUAUUUAAAAAUUGAAAUCUAAAAAAAAUAUUUGAAAAUUUGAGUCUUGAAAUUUAAAUUUAGAGAUUGGAAUUUUUGAAAUUAAAUUUGAAAGAAAUUGGAAUUUUGGAAAUUGUUUGAGAAUUGGAAUUUUGAAAAUUAAAUUUAGGAAAUGGAAUUUUGGAAAUUGAAUUUAAGAAUUAGAAUUUUGGAAAAUUGUUUGAAGAUUAAAGUUUUUGAAAAUUGGAAUUUUAGAAAAUUAUUUGAGAAUGAAUUUUUUUAAAAAAAAAAAAUUAAAUUUGGAAAUUAGAACUUUGAAAAAUUAUUUGAGAAUGAAAAUUUUAAAUUCACCCUAAAAAAAAAGAAUUCCUCUUUCAUUAUAAUCUCACUUAGUGGUAAUUUUUUGAUGUCUAGCACACAUACAUCACAUUUCAGUGAUCAAAUGACAACUUUGCAUGAAAUAAAAUAAAGUAAAAAAUGGCAUAUGUUGAUUUCCAAACCAUCAUUGUGUCUUGAAAUAGUGUUGAGAUUGACAUUCGUGUGAACCUCAACAAGGGACCGAUUGGAAUGAAAGGAUGACAAUUCCAAAUUUGUGUCUCCAAAAACAACUGCAUCCAUAAACACUCCACGCUGAAGAAGAUGUUGUAGCUCAAAUGGGUCAGUAAAGGUUCCACAGGGUAGUUUUUCAAUGAUUAUGGCCUCACAGAAGUGUAUUGGUAGCUCAGCUAUUAACUCCAAUUGGAUAUUAAAUCUUACUGUCGACGGCGACAUCUUAGGCUUCUCAACACCAUCGACGGCAGCUCACUCCGGCCUAGGUAGCUUCGACAUUUUCACUUUGCUCCAGAGAGAUCUCCGCUGGUGGUCCUCGGUUAGUCUCUCUAUUCUCCCCACCUCUAAUUCAUUUUCCCCUGUUCUUCUUCAUCAGUCCAUUUCUUGCUCUGUUUUUCUCCUUCAACGUCCUUUCCAUAGCUAGCUUGCCCCAAAAAGUCUCGUCUGUUUCUCUUCACAAACCAUUCUGGACUCCUCCAUUUUUCAGUCCAACUUUCUUUUCUAUCUGCUUUUCUUCCAAGCCCCUUCCUCAAGCUUUCAAAAAUUCCACAAAACCCUACAUCUCCGAAAACUAACCCAUUUUUGGUUGUGUGGCAUUUGUGCAUCUACACAAACACCAAUGCACUAAGUUAACUUCUCAUGCAUUGCAAUGUGUGUUUGUUGGAUAUGCAUUGCACAAAAAGGGAUAUCGAUGUUACCAUCCUCCAACUCGAAAAAUGUAUAUUACAAUGGAUGUGGUGUUUCAUGAAGAUUCGAUGUGUUUUUCAUCUGAGUCUGAACUUCAGGGGGAGUACCAUAAGGAAAUUCAGACUCUCGAUUAUGAUUAUCAUAUCUCUGUGGAUGAUGAAUCUGGACAAUCUGAACUAGUGAACCAGGAAGCAGGUGAGUUGGAUAUGAGUGGUCAACAAUUUGAGUCCGA